rnacentral:rRNA from 1 species
CGGUAAAAAGCUCGUAGUUGGAUUUCUACCGAAGAUAGCCGGUCGGGUCUUCGACCUUGUAUCUGGUUUUGUCUUUGGUAUCCUCAUGGGGAACGUUGCUGCGCUUCACUGCGUGGUGCGGUAUCCAUGACUUUUACUUUGAGGAAAUUAGAGUGUUCACGGCAGGCAAACGCCCUGAAUAUAUUAGCAUGGAAUAAUAACAUAGGAUCUUCGUCCUAUUUUGUUGGUUUCUAGGGCUAAGAUAAUGAUUAAUAGGGAUAAUUGGGGGCAUCUGUAUCAACGCGUCAGAGGUGGAAUUCUUGGAUUGCGUUGCGACAAACUACUGCGAAAGCAUUUGCCAAGGAUGUUUUCAUUGAUCAAGAACGAAAGUAAGGGGAUCGAAGACGAUUAGAUACCGUCGUAGUCUUUACCAUAAACUAUGCCAACUAGGGAUCGGUGGUCGUUCUUUCUAUGACUCCAUCGGCACCUUAUGAGAUAUCAAAGUUUUUGGGUUCCGGGGGGAGUAUGGUCGCAAGGCUGAAAUUUAAAGGAAUUGACGGAAGGGCACCACCAGGAGUGGAGCCUGCGGCUUAAUUUGACUCAACACGGGAAAACUCACCAGGUCCAGACAAAAAUAGGAUUGACAGAUUGAUAGCUCUUUCUUGAUUCUUUGGGUGGUGGUGCAUGGCCGUUCUUAGUUGGUGGAGUGAUUUGUCUGCUUAAUUGCGU